rnacentral:rRNA from 3 species
CCUUGAAAUACCACCCUUUAAUGUUUGAUGUUCUAACGUUGACCCGUGAUCCGGGUUGCGGACAGUGUCUGGUGGGUAGUUUGACUGGGGCGGUCUCCUCCUAAAGAGUAACGGAGGAGCACGAAGGUUGGCUAAUCCUGGUCGGACAUCAGGAGGUUAGUGCAAUGGCAUAAGCCAGCUUGACUGCGAGCGUGACGGCGCGAGCAGGUGCGAAAGCAGGUCAUAGUGAUCCGGUGGUUCUGAAUGGAAGGGCCAUCGCUCAACGGAUAAAAGGUACUCCGGGGAUAACAGGCUGAUACCGCCCAAGAGUUCAUAUCGACGGCGGUGUUUGGCACCUCGAUGUCGGCUCAUCACAUCCUGGGGCUGAAGUAGGUCCCAAGGGUAUGGCUGUUCGCCAUUUAAAGUGGUACGCGAGCUGGGUUUAGAACGUCGUGAGACAGUUCGGUCCCUA